rnacentral:rRNA from 1 species
UACGUAGGGAGCAAGCGUUGUUCGGAUUUACUGGGCGUAAAGGGCGCGUAGGCGGCAACUCAAGUCAUCUGUGAAAUCUCCGGGCUGAACUCGGAACGGUCAGAUGAUACUGUUUUGCUAGAGUGCAGAAGGGGCAAUCGGAAUUCUUGGUGUAGCGGUGAAAUGCGUAGAUAUCAAGAGGAACACCUGAGGUGAAGACGGGUUGCUGGAAGUGUGCUGACGCUGAGACACGAAAGCCAGGGGAGCAAACGGG